rnacentral:tRNA from 1 species
GCGGGUGUAGUUCAGUGGUAGAACGCUAUCCUUCCAAGUUAGAUGUCGUCGGUUCGAAUCCGAUCUCCCGCU